AGUGAACGCUGGCGGUAGACCUAACACAUGCAAGUCGAACGGCAGCACAGUAAGAGCUUGCUCUUACGGGUGGCGAGUGGCGGACGGGUGAGGAAUACAUCGGAAUCUACUUUUUCGUGGGGUAUAACGUAGGGAAACUUACGCUAAUACCGCAUACGACCUACGGGUGAAAGCAGGGGAUCUUCGGACCUUGCGCGAUUGAAUGAGCCGAUGUCGGAUUAGCUAGUUGGCGGGGUAAAGGCCCACCAAGGCGACGAUCCGUAGCUGGUCUGAGAGGAUGAUCAGCCACACUGGAACUGAGACAAGGUCCAGACUCAUACGGGAGGCAGAAGUAGGGAAUAUUGGACAAUGGGCGCAAGACUGAUCCAACCAUACCGCGUGGGUGAAGAAGGCCUUCGGGUUGUAAAGCCCUUUUGUUGGGAAAGAAAAGCAGAAGGUUAAUACCCCGCUGUUCUGACGGUACCCAAAGAAUAAGCACCGGCUAACUUCGUG
rnacentral:rRNA from 1 species